GAUGAAGAACGUAGCGAAAUGCGAUAAGUAGUGUGAAUUGCAGAAUUCAGUGAAUCAUCGAAUCUUUGAACGCACAUUGCGCCCCCUGGAAUUCCGGGGGGCAUGCCUGUUCGAGCGUCUCAGGGACGAACCCUCGCGCGGGUGUACGCGCGGUCGUGGCUGCGGUGGCGUGCCCGAGGCGGCGGCCACCGCGCUGGAAUCCAUGGGCGGACGCCUGCCGCGUGGCCGAGCGUGAUAUGACGCAUUGGCGCUCGCACGCGGAGAGGCUGCCAGCCCUGGCCCGUCUGUCGGGCGGGGGAGAGCAAGACACGUGAACUCCUCGAAUCAGGUAGGGAUACCCGCUGAACUUAAGCAUAUCAAUAAGCGGAGGA
rnacentral:misc_RNA from 1 species